AACGAACGCUGGCGGCGUGCCUAACACAUGCAAGUCGAACGGGAUUCGGAGCUUGCUCCGAUGAGAGUGGCGCACGGGUGAGUAACGCGUAGAUAAUCUGCCUGAUGAUCUGGGAUAACAGUUCGAAAGGACUGCUAAUACCGGAUAAGCCCACGGAGGCCUUGGUCUUUGCGGGAAAAGGGGGGGACCUUCGGGCCUUCCGUCAUCAGAUGAGUCUGCGUACCAUUAGCUAGUUGGUAGGGUAAAGGCCUACCAAGGCGACGAUGGUUAGCUGGUCUGAGAGGAUGAUCAGCCACACUGGAACUGAGACACGGUCCAGACUCCUACGGGAGGCAGCAGUGGGGAAUUUUGCGCAAUGGGGGAAACCCUGACGCAGCAACGCCGCGUGAGUGAUGAAGGCUCUUGGGUCGUAAAGCUCUGACAGAGGGAAAGAAGUGUAUGGUGGUUAAUACCCAUUGUACUUGACGGUACCCUCAAAGGAAGCACCGGCUAACUCCGUGCCAGCCGCCGCCGUAAGAC
rnacentral:rRNA from 1 species